GAAGCCGUGCCCCAGCUGGUCUGCUUUGCAGGCCCUUGAGGAAGGGGCGCCUUUACACGUGGGAAAGGUGGGGAUUUUCCCCACCCUUGGGCAGGUUUAAUUCUCGCAUGGAGCAGUCAGACCCUCCUCAGGCCUGUGAAAUGGUGACAGGCUUUGUGCUUUUUCUUGUUUCCAGGCCUUGUUUUGAAUUGACUUCCAUGCAAUUGUUCUCUGUUUUUCCCAGGAGGAUUACACCUGGUGCCCAGACUGGACGGGGAAGUGCCUGCAGCGUCCAUGGAGCACAUCCAGUGCUAAUGCUACCCCAGGGGCCACGGUCUGUGGGGACAGCCCCUUUCAGAAGGACAAGGACCUGGUGCGGGAUCGGCUCCUCUGCUGGCAGCAGCUCUCCAGAGGCUGCCAACACCCCAUGCCAUGGGAAUGGCACUGCUCAGCCUGCGAGGCUGGGGGGCUGGAGGGCAGCCCGUGUUCAUUUGCUGUCAAAGAUAAAUUUUUUUUUUUUUUUUGUUAUCGUCGUCAUCAGAGCAUUUCUUUCAUCCUUUUCCAAGCUUUUGGUCUGUUGUGAUAAAUGGAUGUGAUUUGUGCUAAAAAAAUCUGGUGGUUUAUACCAGCUGGACUCUA